AAUACAGCUGGAACUCAGAACGCGUCGUCUCUGGAUGGUUAAAGAAAGCAGAUUAAAGCAAAAGAAGCUUCCAAAUCAGUUGAAAAUUCAGUCCAAGUCUCAUGAACUAGAGGUUAUUGAAACAUUGAACACCCAAUUCGCCUCGGUCUGGCUCUCAAUUUCUGUGUCUUUUAAUAUGAAAUUUUGAACUCUCCAGACCGCGCUUGCAGCCUUGCAAAACAGGCUUUUGAUGAAGCAAUUGCAGAGCCAGAUACUUUAGGUGAGGAGUCUCACAAUA